rnacentral:tRNA from 4 species
GGCCAGGUAGCUCAGAUGGUAGAGCAGUGGACUGAAAAUCCACGUGUCGACGGUUCGAUUCCGUCCCUGGCCACCA